rnacentral:misc_RNA from 1 species
GAUGAAGAACGCAGCAAAUUGCGAAAAUUAAUGUGCAUUGCAGUACGUGAAUCAUCGAGUCUUUGAACGCAACUUGCACUCUAGGUUCUCUCCUAGAGUAUGCCUAUUUGAGUAUCGGUAACACUCCACUCAAACCCAUCACUGGGUUUGGAUCUGAUGAGUCGUGUGCUACCAUGUUACCAUGUGUGGCAUCGACUUCAAGUGUGUACUACACACACACGCACACGGCGGAAUAUGUGCGCGCGGUUACUGACGUGAUAAGAGUGUGCUCUCUUCUCGUCAGACACCACGCAAUUCUCAAUUCCCACGUGCCAGUCAUAGGUUCACACACACAAAAUCUCGAUCUCAAAUUAGGUAGGACUACCCGCUGAAUUUAAGCAUAUCAAUAAGCGGAGGA